ACGCUCGACACCUACGGGAUGCAGCAGUGGGGAAUAUUGCACAAUGGGGGAAACCCUGAUGCAGCAACGCCGCGUGAAGGAAGACGGUUUUCGGAUUGUAAACUUCUGUUCUUAGUGAAGAUAGUGACGGUAGCUAAGGAGCAAGCCACGGCUAACUACGUGCCAGCAGCCGCGGUAAUCUGAGCGGGCUGGCAAGGC
rnacentral:rRNA from 1 species